CCAAGACUCAGCUUAUUAAUUUUUACAUCCCUUGGAGUCUGCCCACUCCUCCAUGGAAACCAUGGUUAUUCUAAAAUAUAAUUGUUUAUACCUUGCAACCCCCCCACCACCACCACCAGCAGCAGCACAAUGGAAACCUUAAAAGAAGGGGAUAUAGUGUCUAUCUUAUUCACAGCUGUAUCUUUAGUACCUUGAAAAAUUCUUAGCUAAUAUUAAGUAGUUGUUGAACAAAUGAGUAAACUUAUGAAUGAAUGAAUGAAUGAAUGAAUGAAUGAGAUGCUAUUAUGAUAGAGCUUCUGUUACCUCAUAGGAAAGACAAAUAAUGGGACAGGGAAUGUUCUUCAGAAAAAUGUUUCUGGGCCAAGAUUGAGUGGUAAUUAAGCACUACCUAGACAAAAGAAGGAAUGGGCAUUUUUGAGGAACUGGGAGCAACCUAGGGAGAGAAUUGAGAUGAUUGUGGUUGAAGAGAAAUCAACAAGUCAUCAUGCAGAGCCUAGGACUGAGAACAACGUCCUGGAAAGCAGAGCCAAUAUAUGAAGAGAAACCCAGUGCUGCAUCUUUACCUAUCCCAGGGUUUUUCAGAUGCCAAUUUCUUUUUUCUAAGCUGAUAGUCUCAUUGCUGCUGAAAGAUAACUCUGGAAGAAGAAAUGACUUGACACAGGAAAAUGGAAAGACUAAAGGGAAUACAAAAACAAUUAUCUAACACAGUUAUCCACCACAGCCAUAUUAUUUUCCAGGUAAAUAAACUGAGGGCCUGAAAAAUUAAGCAGCUUGUCCCAAGCUACUUUAUGGCAGUGCCAGAACUGGAACCCAAUGCACUGAUUACUAUGUUAGGGCACUUUUCACUCAACUCAGCUGAUGCUGAAAAAUGUAAACCUCAAUAGGACUUGGAAUUUGUAAUUUCUUUCAUUCAGUUUGUAUCAUUCAUUUACCACCCAUAUUUGAUUAUUUGUAUGGGCUCUCUCUGUCUUUUUCCCAAAUUUCCCACAUAAAACCAUAACACAUUGAUUGGAAACAGUAAAAAGAAAAAGAAAAUAACAAACAAAUGAGUGAAAUGAACAUGAAUGCUGUUCUGUAGAUAAGUUCUUGUUAUUCCUUUAAAGUGUUCUCUAUUUUUAAACUUUCUAUAGCAAUAUGGCUUAUCUCCAUAAUUAGCUGAAGACAGGGCUAUGUAAAUACUUAUUCC
rnacentral:lncRNA from 1 species